AUUGAACGCUGGCGGAAUGCUUUACACAUGCAAGUCGAACGGCAGCACGGACUUCGGUCUGGUGGCGAGUGGCGAACGGGUGAGUAAUACAUCGGAACGUGCCCAGUCGUGGGGGAUAACGUAGCGAAAGCUACGCUAAUACCGCAUACGAUCUAAGGAUGAAAGCGGGGGAUCGCAAGACCUCGCGCGAUUGGAGCGGCCGAUGGCAGAUUAGGUAGUUGGUAGGGUAAAGGCCUACCAAGCCGACGAUCUGUAGCUGGUCUGAGAGGAUGAUCAGCCACACUGGGACUGAGACACGGCCCAGACUCCUACGGGAGGCAGCAGUGGGGAAUUUUGGACAAUGGGCGCAAGCCUGAUUCAGCCAUUCCGCGUGCAGGAUGAAGGCCUUCGGAUUGUAAACUGCUUUUGUACAGAACGAAAAGGCUCUGGUUAAUACCCGGGGCUCAUGACGGUACUGUAAGAAUAAGCACCGGCUAACUACGUGCCAGCAGCCGCCGUAA
rnacentral:rRNA from 1 species